UAUGCUACACACGGCCUGGGACACAGACUGUUACACGGCCGUGUGUUUCAAGUCAGUAUGCUACAAGAUCUAAGACACGACUUAUGACGUGGCCAUGUGACUCAACAUCGAAUGCACACACAGUUUGACACAUGAACUGUGACACGGCCGUGUGGCCCUAUUUUGAAUAUCCACACAGACGGACACACAGGCUGGGACACGACUGUGUGUCCAGACUUCGAAUGUCCACACAGUCUAGCCUACGUCACAUGGCCUAUCCACACAGCCGUG
rnacentral:lncRNA from 1 species